rnacentral:rRNA from 1 species
CGGACGGGUGAGUAACGCGUGGAUAACCUGCCUCACACUGGGGGAUAACAGUUAGAAAUGGCUGCUAAUACCGCAUAAGCGCACAGUACCGCAUGGUACGGUGUGAAAAACCCAGGUGGUGUGAGAUGGAUCCGCGUCUGAUUAGCCAGUUGGCGGGGUAACGGCCCACCAAAGCGACGAUCAGUAGCCGACCUGAGAGGGUGACCGGCCACAUUGGGACUGAGAUACGGCCCAA